CCUACGGGGAGCAGCAGUGGGGAAUAUUGGACAAUGGGCGAAAGCCUGAUCCAGCCAUGCCGCGUGUGUGAAGAAGGCCUUCGGGUUGUAAAGCACUUUCAGUGGGGAAGAAAGCCUUGGGGCUAAUACCCUCGAGGAAGGACAUCACCCACAGAAGAAGCACCGGCUAACUCCGUGCCAGCAGCCGCGGUAAUACGGAGGGUGCGAGCGUUAAUCGGAAUUACUGGGCGUAAAGCGCGCGUAGGCGGUCUGAUAAGCCGGUUGUGAAAGCCCCGGGCUCAACCUGGGAACGGCAUCCGGAACUGUCAGGCUAGAGUGCAGGAGAGGAAGGUCGAAUUCCCGGUGUAGCGGUGAAAUGCGUAGAGAUCGGGAGGAAUACCAGUGGCGAAGGCGGCCUUCUGGACUGACACUGACGCUGAGGUGCGAAAGCGUGGGUAGCAAACAGGAUUAGAUACCCCGGUAGUC
rnacentral:rRNA from 1 species